rnacentral:rRNA from 1 species
GACGAACCGUGCGAACGUUAUUCGGAAUCACUGGGCUUAAAGCGCGUGUAGGCGGAUGGGGACGUCGGUCGCUGAAAUCCCCCGGCUCAACCGGGGAAUAGCGUCCCAAACCGCCGUGCUCGAGGGAGACAGAGGUGAGCGGAACUGAUGGUGGAGCGGUGAAAUGCGUUGAUAUCAUCAGGAACACCAGUGGCGAAGGCGGCUCACUGGGUCUUUCCUAACGCUGAGGCACGAAAGCUAGGGGAGCGAACGGG